rnacentral:rRNA from 1 species
CCUACGGGCGGCAGCAGUGGGGAAUAUUGCACAAUGGGGGAAACCCUGAUGCAGCGACGCCGCGUGAAGGAAGAAGUAUUUCGGUAUGUAAACUUCUAUCAGCAGGGAAGAAAGUGACGGUACCUGACUAAGAAGCCCCGGCUAACUACGUGCCAGCAGCCGCGGUAAUACGUAGGGGGCAAGCGUUAUCCGGAUUUACUGGGUGUAAAGGGAGCGUAGGCGGCGAUGCAAGUCAGAAGUGAAAGCCCGGGGCUCAACCCCGGGACUGCUCUUGGAACUGCAUGGCUGGAGUACAGGAGGGGCAGGCGGAAUUCCUAGUGUAGCGGGGAAAUGCGUAGAUAUUAGGAGGAACACCGGUGGCGAAGGCGGCCUGCUGGACUGUGACUGACGUUGAGGCCCGAAGGCGUGGGGAGCAAACAGGAUUAGAUACCCCUGUAGUC